ensembl:lncRNA
CCUACAGCCCCUUGCUGCUCUCGACGUGAAUGAUGCGUCACCACCACUCUGGUACAGACGGUACAGACAUGGCGAUCUCUCUGCUCCACUUCACGCUUUUUUCCAAGGGGAGGAUGAAAGCAUCGAAAGAGGUCCCAUGGGCUCUACCGGAAGGGGCGUGACUUCGCCACUCUAUGCUAAAACGCAAGAAUAUUUCUGCAUCCGGAAGCCCUGCUCCCCCGAGGAGCAGGAAAUCAGUGGCUGGAGGACCCUGUGUUGGGAGGCGUGAUUGCUGCUCAUCUGGCAUCCGAUCGGAGGGGUCUUAUCCACGCCGCCAAGGCCAAGCCUCGGUGUUGUCUUUUUUUGUUGUUGUUCCAUUUAUUAUUUCUGCAUAAAUAAAGAAAAUGUUGCUGCUUCACAUAGAGACCUUAACGAAUGCAAAUAGGAUAAAAUGAUUCAAGUUGUUUUGUAAAUGGAUGAGUGAAAUUAAUGUUAGAAUGGUUAUGUUUUUUCUCACU